rnacentral:rRNA from 1 species
GUGAGGAAUAUUGCGCAAUGGGGGAAACCCUGACGCAGCGACGCCGCGUGAGUGAUGAAGGCCUUCGGGUCGUAAAGCUCUGUUGCAGGGGAAUAAAAAAAUGAAGGUACCCUGUGAGGAAGGAUCGGCUAACUUCGUGCCAGCAGCCGCGGUAAGACGAGGGAUCCUAGCGUUGCUCGGAAUCAUUGGGCGUAAAGAGGGCGUAGGUGGCUUGGUAAGUCAGGUGUGAAAGCCCAGGGCUCAACCCUGGAAGUGCAUUUGAUACUGCUGAGCUUGAGUGUCGGAGAGGUUACCGGAAUACCUGGUGUAGUGGUGAAAUACGUAGAUAUCAGGUGGAACACCGGAGGCGAAGGCGGGUAACUGGACGAACACUGACACUGAGGCCCGAAAGCGUGGGGAUCAAACAGGAUUAGAAACCCGGGUAGUCC